GAUUAACGCUGGCGGCGUGCCUAACACAUGCAAGUCGAGCGGCAGCGAGUUUUACACUGAAUUCUGGAAGCUUCUAGUUGAAAGAGAAGAUUUAUUCAAGAAUUUUGUGUAAAAUGUCGGCGAGCGGCGGACGGCUGAGUAACGCGUGGGAACGUACCCCAAAGUGAGGGAUAACGCAUCGAAAGGUGUGCUAAUACCGCAUAUGGUCUUCGGAUUAAAGCCUUCGGGCGCUUUGGGAACGGCCUGCGUAAGAUUAGAUAGUUGGUGGGGUAAUGGCCUACCAAGUCGACGAUCUUUAACUGGUUUGAGAGGAUGAUCAGUCAGACUGGAACUGAGACACGGUCCAGACUCCUACGGGAGGCAGCAGUGAGGAAUCUUCCACAAUGGGCGAAAGCCUGAUGGAGCAACGCCGCGUGCAGGAUGAAGGCAUUCGGGUUGUAAACUGCUUUUAUAAGUGAGGAUUAUGACAGUAACUUAUGAAUAAGAAUCGGCUAACUACGUG
rnacentral:rRNA from 1 species